rnacentral:miRNA from 1 species
UAGCCAAGGAUGAUUUGCCUGUG